ensembl:lncRNA
AACGAAACCAGAUCUGCCUUCGAUACACAUUAAUCAUGUCUGGAUUACAGGGUUUGAGCAGCCACUGGAAUUUCUUUCUAGUGAAACUGUGGAAGUGACCUUUGCUUCUCCCCGUGCUGUGGGUCAGUCUCGAGCUUCCCUGGACAUCUACAAACGCUGCAGCUGCUAACGGAGACCACAGAGAUGUUGUUUGGAAAAAGGCCUGCUCUGUUGGCGCUGGGGGAGGCAGGAGCUGGGCGAUGUGCUCUGAGUGGUGACAGAUUACUGGAGGUUAAGA